ensembl:lncRNA
AAGGGAAAACCGAAAAAGAAAGCACCCAAAAAGAAAAUCGUAGUUAGCAGCUCUGAGGAGGGUGAUGUCCCUGUCCCACUUGAUGAUGUGUCUGACGAAGAGAGCUCUGAGGAUGAGGGAAAUGAUCCAGGAAACACAGAUCUGUCCUUGUUCCUGGCUGUCUUGGAGUUUCUGUCCCCAGUAUGCUCUGUGUGCUGAAAACUUGUGGAGACUAGUUGACAUCACGGCUGAUGGGGAGUGAGCUAUAGGAAAAACGUGCAAAAACCGUUAUUGUCUAAAGUAGAUGAAGACGACAAAUGUGCAUAAUUAUUCAAUCCCAUACCUAAGACUACCCUUCCAUGGCUGUCAAACUGCAAUGAAACAUCUGGAGGAACAAUCUUGCUGUACUGAUUUUUGAUUUUUUGGUUCCUUGCCAAGUUGUAAUGGUGGAGAAUUUUUCUUUGUAGAAAAAUGUGUGUUGAUGGGGUUGUCUGAUUUAAAAAGUUGUUGUUUUUUCUCAUCCCUGAAACAGCUGCUCCGCACACUGGCCGUUAAUAAGACCAGCAAGUUCAGGCACAAGCUCCAGCUUUCUUAGAACCUCACACUGGUCUUUGCUAUUCCCCCGGUGGAACACAUCGUUCGAAGCAAAAUACUGUGAGGAUCCAGUGAGAGGGUGACCAUCUUUGUCAGCUGGCUUUUUUUUUUAAAUUUCAUCCAAGGCAAGUUGACAUGGACCUUUCCC